AGCUUUGCGCAGUGGCAGUAUCAUAGCCAAUGAGGUUUAUCCAAGGCAUGAUUAUUGCUAAUUGAAAACUUUCCCCCAAAUCACUACCCCUGGCAAAGUGCCAUGUGAUUAGGCACUAGCUCUCAGCUUCUCCUUGGGAAGAGAUGGGAAGAACUGGACCGUACAUCUGAUGUUC
ensembl:snRNA U4 U4 spliceosomal RNA